CAAUAGCGUAUAUUAAAGUUGUUGCAGUUAAAAAGCUCGUAGUUGGAUUUCUGAUCGAGGCAUCAGGUCGGGUCCGAGAGGAUCAUGUACUUUGAUUUUGUUUUGAUCAUCCUUGGGGAGAGCAUUUCUGGCAUUCAGUUGUCGGGAUUGGGAUCCUCAUCGUUUACUGUGAAAAAAUUAGAGUGUUCAAAGCAGGCCUCGGCCUCUGAAUACAUUAGCAUGGAAUAAUAAGAUAGGACUUUGGUGGUCUAUUUUGUUGGUUUGCACGCCAAAGUAAUGAUUAAUAGGGAUAGUUGGGGGUAUUCGUAUUCAAUUGUCAGAGGUGAAAUUCUUGGAUUUAUGGAAGACGAACUACUGCGAAAGCAUUUACCAAGGAUGUUUUCAUUAA
rnacentral:rRNA from 1 species